GCUUGCUGGGUGGAUUAGUGGCGAACGGGUGAGUAACACGUGAGUAACCUGCCCUUAACUCUGGGAUAAGCCUGGGAAACUGGGUCUAAUACCGGAUAGGAGCGCCCACCGCAUGGUGGGUGUUGGAAAGAUUUAUCGGUUUUGGAUGGACUCGCGGCCUAUCAGCUUGUUGGUGAGGUAAUGGCUCACCAAGGCGACGACGGGUAGCCGGCCUGAGAGGGUGACCGGCCACACUGGGACUGAGACACGGCCCAAACUCCUACGGGAGGCAGCAGUGGGGAAUAUUGCACAAUGGGCGCAAGCCUGAUGCAGCGACGCCGCGUGAGGGAUGACGGCCUUCGGGUUGUAAACCUCUUUCAGUAGGGAAGAAGCGAAAGUGACGGUACCUGCAGAAGAAGCACCGGCUAACUACGUGCCAGCAGCCGCGGUAAUACGUAGGGUGCGAGCGUUAUCCGGAAUUAUUGGGCGUAAAGAGCUCGUAGGCGGUUUGUCGCGUCUGUCGUGAAAGUCCGGGGCUUAACCCCGGAUCUGCGGUGGGUACGGGCAGACUAGAGUGCAGUAGGGGAGACUGGAAUUCCUGGUGUAGCGGUGGAAUGCGCAGAUAUCAGGAGGAACACCGAUGGCGAAGGCAGGUCUCUGGGCUGUAACUGACGCUGAGGAGCGAAAGCAUGGGGAGCGAACAGGAUUAGAUACCCUGGUAGUCCAUGCCGUAAACGUUGGGCACUAGGUGUGGGGACCAUUCCACGGUUUCCGCGCCGCAGCUAACGCAUUAAGUGCCCCGCCUGGGGAGUACGGCCGCAAGGCUAAAACUCAAAGGAAUUGACGGGGGCCCGCACAACUCGGCGGAGCAUGCGGAUUAAUUCGAUGCAACGCGAAGAACCUUACCAAGGCUUGACAUGUUCUCGAUCGCCGUAGAGAUACGGUUUCCCCUUUGGGGCGGGUUCACAGGUGGUGCAUGGUUGUCGUCAGCUCGUGUCGUGAGAUGUUGGGUUAAGUCCCGCAACGAGCGCAACCCUCGUUCCAUGUUGCCAGCACGUCGUGGUGGGGACUCAUGGGAGACUGCCGGGGUCAACUCGGAGGAAGGUGAGGACGACGUCAAA
rnacentral:rRNA from 1 species